UAAUGUAAUAUUAAAGUACACACGCACCAUCAUACAAAAAUAUCAGAUAAAAUUCACGACGAAAUUCACACGUUGCAUAACAAUGUGUUCACAUUUCGCGCACAGAAUCAGCUCCCGACCGUACUGCAUUACAUGAAUGUAGCCUAAUCGGCGUAAUACGAUAUAGAUUUGAGUACAAACACAAAAAUACACUGCAGACUUAAAAGAAUGAUAUUCAGACAUGUAGUGCCAGAUUUUAAUUACCGAUUGCAAAACGUCAACAAAAUCACAAAACAUGACCUGAAAACGAUCAUCUGAUUCCACCGCCUCGCUUCGAAUGGCCAUUUUGCGAUUCAUUAAUGCAAUAUAAGCAGUCAUGGCUAUCCCCGGUGUAUCAUGGAAUCACGGAACAGAUAUUUCAGGAUAUCACACUUGAUAUAUCAUCAGUCAAGGGAAAAGAUAUACUGUCCAUAUGCACCAACGUGAACGUUAACGGUGAUGGUGAAGGCUGUACUGGUUAACUGUCUCUAAGUGUUUGUUUGUUUGUUUCUUGUUA